rnacentral:rRNA from 1 species
CCUACGUGAGGCAGCAGUGGGGAAUAUUGCGCAAUGGGCGAAAGCCUGACGCAGCGACGCCGCGUGAGGGAUGAAGGUCUUCGGAUCGUAAACCUCUGUCAGCAGGGAAGAACGGACACUGUGCUAAUCAGCAGUGAAUUGACGGUACCUGCAAAGGAAGCACCGGCUAACUCCGUGCCAGCAGCCGCGGUAAUACGGAGGGUGCGAGCGUUAAUCGGAAUUACUGGGCGUAAAGCGCUCGUAGGCGGUAUGUCAAGUCAAGUGUGAAAUCCCCGCGCUCAACGUGGGAACUGCCCUUGAAACUGGCAAACUGGAGUGUGUGAGAGGAGAGUGGAAUUCCAGGUGUAGGAGUGAAAUCCGUAGAUAUCUGGAGGAACACCAGUGGCGAAGGCGACUAUCUGGCACAUAACUGACGCUGAGGAGCGAAAGCGUGGGUAGCAAACAGGAUUAGAUACCCUUGUAGUC